GGGCAUUCAGAAGGCUUGCUCUCUGGGCUACAUGCAGAGAACCCGGUUUCUCCUCGUGCUCCAGGGGAAAGUCCCCGGACCGCCGGCAGAAAGUGCCCUGGAUCGAUCCAGAGCCGGCCGCCGCUUCACCCGCGACGAGCCGAGACGUUCGUCCGAACCGAGCUCGGUGUUCGUCGGCCGGCGUUGUCAGCUGUCAGAGAAAUGCAAGUGAGCAGUUACUGACGCUCGAACUGAACGGGGCUCAUUCUCAGAAUGCA
rnacentral:RNase_MRP_RNA from 1 species